rnacentral:rRNA from 1 species
UCGAGCGUAUGGGGCUUUGUCACCCGCUCGGGACGGACUCGUCGGCGCUGGUCUUCCUCCAGGCGACCCUUCGGGGCUCGUCUUCCUUCGGUUGACCUCGGAUCAGGUAGGGUUACCCGCUGAACUUAAGCAUAUCAAUAAGCGGAGGAAAAGAAACCAACAGGGAUUGCCUCAGUAACGGCGAGUGAAGCGGCAAGAGCUCAAAUUUGAAAUCUGGCUCCUUCGGGGCCCGAGUUGUAAUUUGGAGAGGAUGCUUCGGGCGUGGCCCCCAUCUAAGUGCCCUGGAACGGGCCGUCAUAGAGGGUGAGAAUCCCGUCUGGGAUGGGUGGUCCCGCCCGUGUGAAGCUCCUUCGAAGAGUCGAGUUGUUUGGGAAUGCAGCUCUAAGAGGGUGGUAAAUUUCAUCUAAAGCUAAAUAUUGGCCGGAGACCGAUAGCGCACAAGUAGAGUGAUCGAAAGAUGAAAAGCACUUUGAAAAGAGAGUUAAACAGCACGUGAAAUUGUUGAAAGGGAAGCGUUGGCAACCAGACUCGCCCGGGAGGGCUCAGCCGGCACGUGUGCCGGUGCACUCCCCCCCGGGCGGGCCAGCGUCGGUUUGGGCGGUCGGUCAAAGGUCCCGGGAAUGUAGCACCCUCCGGGGUGCCUUAUAGCCCGAGGCGCCAUGCGACCUGCCCGGACCGA